rnacentral:lncRNA from 1 species
UGCUAUCCAAUAAAAAAUCAACACACCAUCUAUUAUUGGGAAAAAAAUUUAUUGUUAUGUAAAUUUGGUGGAAAAUUUUAAGUAAAAAAAAUUUACUAUUAAUUAUGGUUACCUAGCCGGCUUUUUGUUGGUUUGAAUAAAAAAGAGCUCAAUUUUUUCGAAUGAUGUAUUGAUUUUUUAUUGGGUGACCAAGGAUUUAUAUAUAUAUCUACACACACAUAUGGU